CGGCACUGUUGACGAGCAAGGUCACAUCGCUCCAAUCGGUGAGCAGUUCGGCCUGAUGGACGGACAGCGGUCCGGCGCCGAUGAUGCCGA
rnacentral:tRNA from 1 species